UCUUUAAGCUCACAAAGUGUGGCUGACAGGUAAAAUAAGCCACACACACGUUUCAAAGGCCAAUUUAAUGCUAUUGGAACACUCUUUUCUUCACCUAUUUGAUCACAUAAGAUGUCUUCGCUCCUCAAGGUGGACAAUGAAAUUAAAACCAAGGUCGAUGCUUUCAGGGAACGUAUUACUUCAGAAGCAGAAGAUCUAGUUGCAAGCUUUUUCCCAAAGAAGUUGCUGGAACUCGAUCACUUCUUAAAGGAUCCAAUCAUAAACAUCGCUGAUCUGAAGGAGAUACACUCAGAAAUAAACCUGACUGUGCCAGACCCCAUUCUGCUCUCAAACCUCCAUGACGGAUUAGAAGCGCAAAAUGCCAAAAAGAGAAAGCUUGAGGAUGGAGGUGGGGAGGACAAGGUGACUGGCACCAAGGUCUUUGUCAUGCCUGGUGGGAUGAUGAAGAGCAACGGAACCCUUGUGGAUCUCAUUGAAAAAGUCAAACCAGAGAUCAGGACACUCAUAGAGAAAUGUAACACAGUCAAAAUGUGGGUUCAGCUGCUAAUCCCCAGGAUAGAGGACGGCAACAACUUUGGAGUGUCAAUCCAGGAGGAGACGGUAGCUGAACUCAGAACAGUUGAAGGGGAGGCAGCAUCUUACCUUGACCAGAUAUCAAGAUACUACAUCACAAGGGCAAAGCUCGUAUCUAAAAUAGCAAAAUAUCCACAUGUGGGCGAGAGUGGCUGUCCCUCCCACAAACAAUGAAAACUUCUAUAGAGAGAAUGAGGACUAUCGGCGCACAGUAACUGAGAUCGAUGAGAAGGAAUACAUCAGUCUGAAGAUCAUAGUUUCUGAGCUCAGAAAUCAAUAUGUAACGUUACAUGACAUGAUCCUGAAGAACAUAGAGAAGAUCAAGAAGCCUAGAAGCAGUAAUACUGAAGCGUUGUACUGAUGUUCAUACAGCCAUCUCUGCCUCCACCCCUCCUCCACCCUAUCAUGCCUGUUGAGCUGCAGUAGCCCUCGUCCGCAGGACUACAACUCAACUUUCACCUACAGUACAAUCAUCACCACCCAGUACAAGGACAAAGCAUCCACACAGGGACACAUGUUUUUGUUUUAAAUGUAAAAUAUUGUUCUUGUUUGAAACCCUUUGAAGGAAAAUGGGGAAAUAGAUCAUAGACAACAAAAGGCUCUAUGUAUUUUUUAAUUUUAAUUAAACAUUUCGUCCUCAGCUCCAUUUAUAUCUUAAAAUAAUUCAAAGCAAAGUGGUUUGUUUCAUGUCCACUGCUUUACUGAAUUUUCCUUUUAUUUAAGUCUUCUAUUUGACUCUUACACCAUCUUUCUUGUUGCACAUCCAUUAUAGUCUUGAGGAUACGCAACACGAAAGCUGUUUUUGUUUUUUCUCCGAAUGUUAUACAUUACACAGUAUAAUAGUAACAUCUGAAUACUAAGCAGGUUUUAGGUCUACAUGCUUAUUAGUUUUCAGUGAAAAUUCCCGAGUCACCAAAGCAUCUCUUAUGUUAAGGCAUUGAUGUUACUGAAUAAAACCUUUUGAUAAAAGAACUAC